rnacentral:rRNA from 1 species
CCGUCUUCGGAGGCACGGUGACAGGUGUUGCAUGGCUGUCGUCAGCUCGUGUCGUGAGAUGUUGGGUUAAGUCCCGCCAACGAGCGCAACCCCUGUUCCUAGUUACCAGCGGUUCGGCCGGGAACUCUAGGAAGACUGCCCGUGAUAAGCGGGAGGAAGGUGGGGACGGACGUCAAGUCAUCAUGGCCCUUACGUCCAGGGCUACACACGUGCUACAAUGGCCGGUACAAUGGGUUGCGAAGCCGCAAGGUGAAGCUAAUCCCAAAAAAGACCGGUCUCAGUUGGGAUUGGAGUCUGCAACUCGACUCCAUGAACCUGGAAUCGCUAGUAAUCGCGUAUCAGCUACGACGCGGUGAAUACGUUCCCGGGCCUU